rnacentral:tRNA from 1 species
UCUAGUGUGACAGAGCAAUGUGAUGAAUUUAAAAUUCAUUUAUAAAUAAUUAUAUUUCAUUAGAA